rnacentral:rRNA from 1 species
ACGGAAGGCAGCAGUGGGGAAUAUUGGGCAAUGGGCGCAAGCCUGACCCAGCAACGCCGCGUGAAGGAAGAAGGUUUUCGGAUUGUAAACUUCUGUCCUUGGUGACGAAGGAAGUGACGGUAGCCAAGGAGGAAGCCCCGGCUAACUACGUGCCAGCAGCCGCGGUAAUACGUAGGGGGCAAGCGUUGUCCGGAAUGACUGGGCGUAAAGGGCGUGUAGGCGGCCGAUUAAGUCUGAAGUGAAAGUCCCGCUUUCAAGGUGGGAAUUGCUUUGGAGACUGGUUGGCUUGAGUGCGGAAGAGGUAAGUGGAAUUCCCAGUGUAGCGGUGAAAUGCGUAGAGAUUGGGAGGAACACAGUGGCGAAGGCGACUUACUGGGCCGUAACUGACGCUGAGGCGCGAAAGCGUGGGUAGCAAACAGGAUUAGAUACCCUGGUA